AGUGGAAUUACUGGGUAAUAUGGUCACUCUAUGUCUAAUUUUUGGAGGAACUGCCAAACUGUUUUCCAAAGUGGCCGCACCAUUUUACAUUUCCUUCAGCAGU
rnacentral:pre_miRNA from 1 species